rnacentral:tRNA from 1 species
UGGGCUGUCGCCAAGCGGUAAGGCACAGGACUUUGACUCCUGGAUCCGUGGGUUCAAAUCCCACCAGCCCAG